rnacentral:lncRNA from 1 species
AACAUAUGGGCACGAUCUGCGCCGCGGAGGGACCCGGCUUGCGACGCUUGCUGCCCGCUGCCCGCUGCCCGCGGCUGCGCCCCCGACCGAGCCUGCAGGCGCACAGGUGCCCAGCGUCCGUCCGAGCACGGGGCCGACCCUUGAAGUCGCCGGCCGGCCUCACCGGGGACACAGGGCUUCUCCUCUGCAGACCACAGCUGGCACCCGGCCCCUGUACUCCACCACAGACCCAGCGGCACCCUUGGGAGAACCUAGCGCACUCGACAACUACACGGAUAAUGACAGCGCUGCCCUCAGUGUUUGUAAGAACACAGGCAAAGCUCACAUCACACCGGCACCUGUAGCUAGCUGUGUGUGCGUUCCUUAUCAGAAUUCCUCACCCUACAGCGGCCGUGGUGGGAAGGCAGGCACACAGGUACGAGGAGGUCUGACCUAAGAAGCUGUGUGCCGGGGAGUUAGGUGGCAGGAGCCACAGCCCGGCGUGGGGAGUGUUGCACUUGGCAGCUGUGCUGGGCAGCUGCCUGGAGCCGGUGGAGGGGGAGACAGGCUGGGCUGCGGGCGGCAGGCACUCAGUGAGUGACGGCCACAGGGACCUGUGCUGGGUAGCCCAGAGGCAGUUACAAAGCGGUUGUGGGGGUUAGGGUCAGGGUCAGGGUCGAGGGGGCCUGGGCUCAGGGAGACAAAGGGAGCUCCUGGGGUGCCUGACUCGCCCUCCCGCACUGGGGCACAGUGGGUUAAGCUGCCGCUUACAGUGGUGACCUUCUGUAUCAGCCUGUUCAAGUCCCCGCUGCUCCACUUCCGAUCCAGCUCUCUGCUAAUGCACCUGGGAAAGCAGAAGAUGGCUCAAGUACUUGGGCCCUGUCACCCACAUGGGAGAUCGUGGUGGACUUCCAGGCUCCUGGACUCUGCCUCGUCCAGUUCCAGCCAUUGCUGGCAUCUGGGGAGUGAAACAGCAGAUGGGAGCUGUGUGUGUGUGUGUGUGUGUGUGUGUGUGUGUGUGUGUCUAACGGGAAAAACUUUAAAUAAAACUCAGUGCUAAUCAGUAUCCUGUGGUAAC